GUAACAAGGUUUCCGUAGGUGAACCUGCGGAAGGAUCAUUACAGUAUUCUUUUGCCAGCGCUUAACUGCGCGGCGAAAAACCUUACACACAGUGUCUUUUUGAUACAGAACUCUUGCUUUGGUUUGGCCUAGAGAUAGGUUGGGCCAGAGGUUUAACAAAACACAAUUUAAUUAUUUUUACAGUUAGUCAAAUUUUGAAUUAAUCUUCAAAACUUUCAACAACGGAUCUCUUGGUUCUCGCAUCGAUGAAGAACGCAGCGAAAUGCGAUAAGUAAUAUGAAUUGCAGAUUUUCGUGAAUCAUCGAAUCUUUGAACGCACAUUGCGCCCUCUGGUAUUCCAGAGGGCAUGCCUGUUUGAGCGUCAUUUCUCUCUCAAACCCCCGGGUUUGGUAUUGAGUGAUACUCUUAGUCGGACUAGGCGUUUGCUUGAAAAGUAUUGGCAUGGGUAGUACUAGAUAGUGCUGUCGACCUCUCAAUGUAUUAGGUUUAUCCAACUCGUUGAAUGGUGUGGCGGGAUAUUUCUGGUAUUGUUGGCCCGGCCUUACAACAACCAAACAAGUUUGACCUCAAAUCAGGUAGGAAUACCCGCUGAACUUAAGCAUAUCAAUA
rnacentral:rRNA from 1 species